AGGGGAUACGGCCACGAGCUGAAUCGGACGGUGAUUCGAAGGGAGGAGAGGUUGAAGACGAGCGUGUGAAGGACACGCGAGGCGCGUGGGAGGCCGCGAGUGGAAGUGCGAUUGUGCGCGGAUCAGGCGUGUGAGAAACGAACCCCCGACCUUCUGUUGGCGCGUGAGGGCGCGUGAGAAGGUCUAAUAGGAAGGAAUUGUGUUGAAAUACUAUUAAACGUACAUUCAAGGGGGAAAAGAAGUUCGCAACCAAGUAAGUAGCGUAUCGACCUUUGAACUAGUUCUUA